rnacentral:rRNA from 1 species
AACGAACGCUGGCGGCAUGCCUAACACAUGCAAGUCGAACGCCCUCUUCGGAGGGAGUGGCGCACGGGUGCGUAACGCGUGGGAACCUGCCCUUAGGUUCGGAAUAACUCAGAGAAAUUUGAGCUAAUACCGGAUAAUGUCUUCGGACCAAAGAUUUAUCGCCUUUGGAUGGGCCCGCGUUGGAUUAGCUAGUUGGUGGGGUAAAGGCCUACCAAGGCGACGAUCCAUAGCUGGUCUGAGAGGAUGAUCAGCCACACUGGGACUGAGACACGGCCCAGACUCCUACGGGAGGCAGCAGUGGGGAAUAUUGGACAAUGGGCGAAAGCCUGAUCCAGCAAUGCCGCGUGAGUGAUGAAGGCCUUAGGGUUGUAAAGCUCUUUACUCGGGACGAUAAUGACGGUACCGAGAGAAUAAGCCCCGGCUAACUCCGUGCCAGCAGCCGCGGUAAAGUGACUACUG